rnacentral:rRNA from 1 species
CUACCGAUUGAACGGCUCAAUAGAAGUCUCCGAGAUCGACUUCGAGGGAGCCGGCGACGGCACCCUGUCGCUGAGAAGCUGAUCAAACUUGGUCGUUUAGAGGAAGUAAAAGUCGUAACAAGGUU